rnacentral:rRNA from 1 species
AUUGAACGCUGGCGGCAUGCCUUACACAUGCAAGUCGAACGGCAGCACGGGUGCUUGCACCUGGUGGCGAGUGGCGAACGGGUGAGUAAUACAUCGGAACAUGUCCUGUAGUGGGGGAUAGCCCGGCGAAAGCCGGAUUAAUACCGCAUACGAUCUACGGAUGAAAGCGGGGGACCUUCGGGCCUCGCGCUAUAGGGUUGGCCGAUAGCUGAUUAGCUAGUUGGUGGGGUAAAGGCCUACCAAGGCGACGAUCAGUAGCUGGUCUGAGAGGACGACCAGCCACACUGGGACUGAGACACGGCCCAGACUCCUACGGGAGGCAGCAGUGGGGAAUUUUGGACAAUGGGCGAAAGCCUGAUCCAGCAAUGCCGCGUGUGUGAAGAAGGCCUUCGGGUUGUAAAGCACUUUUGUCCGGAAAGAAAUCCUUGGCUCUAAUACAGUCGGGGGAUAACGGUACCGGAAGAAUAAGCACCGGCUAACUACGUG